GACGAGCGCUGGCGGCGUGCUUAACACAUGCAAGUCGAACGGAAAGGCCCUGCUUUUGUGGGGUGCUCGAGUGGCGAACGGGUGAGUAACACGUGAGUAACCUGCCCUUGACUUUGGGAUAACUUCAGGAAACUGGGGCUAAUACCGGAUAGGAGCUCCUGCUGCAUGAUGGGGGUUGGAAAGUUUCGGCGGUUGGGGAUGGACUCGCGGCUUAUCAGCUUGUUGGUGGGGUAGUGGCUUACCAAGGCUUUGACGGGUAGCCGGCCUGAGAGGGUGACCGGCCACAUUGGGACUGAGAUACGGCCCAGACUCCUACGGGAGGCAGCAGUGGGGAAUAUUGCACAAUGGGCGGAAGCCUGAUGCAGCAACGCCGCGUGCGGGAUGACGGCCUUCGGGUUGUAAACCGCUUUCGCCUGUGACGAAGCGUGAGUGACGGUAAUGGGUAAAGAAGCACCGGCUAACUACGUG
rnacentral:rRNA from 1 species